GCCAAUAGUAGUGGCCAGUAAACCUCCGCAAGCAAGUAGCCAUCUGCCUGCCUGUAGUUCAAGCUCUGUUCCUUGUGAUGGCUCUACAAACAUUUUGAGGAACAUUAUGAGGGAAGUAUCUCUUUAAUGACAUGGUCACUUCCCAGCAACAAAACCCGGAAGCAGAACUCUGAAAAGUGACUCCACAAGAGGUACAGAUGGCAGAGCCAGCUGCUGAGACACACAGGACACACCCUUGGGCAAAUCACUUGAGAGCAUCUCAACAUGUUCUACAGUGUCACAUACCGCUGGCAGCACACCCAAAGGAUCCAGUGAGGACCGACGGAAGCAUCAACUGACAGCUGUUGUUGUGGGAAAAAAGGGUGGCUGCCGAGGAACUUGGGAAGUCCAACAAUUCAGGAUUAGGCCAGCAGAUGGAAAGGAGAUUUGCAAUCUUAUCAAAAGGCUAAGGAAUCUACUAAUGAUAUAGAACAGUCUAUCAUCACCGUUAUCUCAAAAUCGAGAUGGGCAAUUUCUAAAUUUAAAACUGGUCACCACAGAUGUGUGUUUAUGGUGUCUGCUGCACCUGGGUAGAAAAGAUAUGUCAGUAUCUUUUCAGUAAUAAUCCCUAUUUAAAUUUGUUGCAUGAGGACAAUGAUUAAAAUUUUAUUAGAGAAUUUGUUAACAACAAUAAAAAACAUUUGUUUCAUUACAUAUUUUCAAAACAAAGAAACAAACAAAAAAACAAGCAAUAUACAGUUUUUUGCCCACCACCAGAUGGGACUUAUUUGCAUGCACAUAGAUUUAAAACAUUUUUCUUUGCUUGCUCACACUUCAAUAUGUGUGUGUGUGUG